CCGGCAGUACAGCAGCAGCAUAGCCACAGUAACUGCGAAGAGGGAUCAGAUCAGAGAUUCAGAGAUGAGGACGCAGCGAAAUGCUCUGUCUUUUCGCACGCUACUCGUGGUGGCUUUCAUGCUCAUCGCUGCUUUCCAGGCCGUCUCUGUGCAGGGAGGGAGAGCUAUGAAAGAAGGCAUAAGUUAUGGAGGGAUAUCAGGGAACCCAGGCAGCACGCCGACUGCCCCUGGAAGAGGCCAGCCUUACACCGGUCACGGAUGCAAGAUCUACGGUUGCAGCCCACCUCCUGCAACUCCAUGACUUACUAUAUGAAAGAAGUCCUCCCGGUUACCAGUUACCGCUCGGCGCUCGCAUGUAUCGGACGAGAAUUAUCGAGAUUAUGUUAGAGAAUAAAUAUCCGUAGACCCUUUCAAAAUAGACCGAUGUAAGGUCAGAGCGUCUCUAGUUGGAUUACAUUACAUGUUAAUUUUCUGUGCUAUAUCCACUGUAAGGGACCUAUAUCAAGGAAUGCAAGUGCUAUUUUACUGUGCAACCAAAA